rnacentral:rRNA from 1 species
UCCAGACUCCUACGGGAGGCAGCAGUGGGGAAUAUUGCACAAUGGGGGAAACCCUGAUGCAGCGACGCCGCGUGAGUGAAGAAGUAAUUCGUUAUGUAAAGCUCUAUCAGCAGGGAAGAAAAUGACGGUACCUGAGUAAGAAGCCCCGGCUAACUACGUGCCAGCAGCCGCGGUAAUACGUAGGUGGCAAGCGUUGUCCGGAUUUACUGGGUGUAAAGGGCGUGUAGGCGGGAAAGCAAGUCAGAUGUGAAAACCAUGGGCCCAACCUGUGGCCUGCAUUUGAAACUGUUUUUCUUGAGUACUGGAGAGGCAGACGGAAUUCCUAGUGUAGCGGUGAAAUGCGUAGAUAUUAGGAGGAACACCAGUGGCGAAGGCGGUCUGCUGGACAGCAACUGACGCUGAGGCGCGAAAGCGUGGGGAGCAAACAGGAUUAGAUACCCCGGUAGA